CUGAGAAGGUAGAAGGACCAUUCUUGCAUCAGAUUGGAUUUUGCACCUGAGUCUGACAUCGUAGAAGGACCAUUCUUUCAUCAGAUUGUCAGUAUUAAAUUUCCUUAUCAUUAUUUUAAAUAACUUUUGUGAUUAUUACACAAAUUGACUCCCAAAAUGUA